UGGGUUGCCGCCCCAGAUCACGUUGAUACGCGUAGCUUGCACGUCUCUCCGUUGCGUUCGCCUGUCUCUACGUCCACCCUUCGUCUGUUCUCUUCGUCCGCCCUUCGUCUGUCUGCCUCCGCUCUCGUCCUCCUCCGCCGCCAUGCACUCGUCAUUAGUCUCCGUCGCUGCCCUCCUCAUGGCCGUGGCACUGGCAGCAGGGCGCCCCGACGGUGCCACCAUCCUGGACUUCGACGGCGAUAACCACCACCACACACAGCAGGGAAGUGCAGGGAACGUUGUCACGGGGACGUACGGCUGGACGUCCCCCGAAGGCUACAACUUCCUGGUCAAGUACAUCGCCGACGAGAACGGCUUCCGCGUCGUCGAGAGCAACGCCGUCCCGAUCAACGCCGACGGCAUCUACGCGGACGGAAAGCAGGGCGCGUUCGAGUCGGACGAAUAUGAGAAUUGAGGAGGAUCGGCGUCAGGUCGUGGAGGUCGUGACGUCGUCACGGUGAGAGGUCACCUGGAGGAGCAGGCUGACCUGGCGCCGCCCGGUCCUCCUCGAGGCAAUAAAGCAGAAAGCCACAUCCAUGAAUGGAUAAUAAACGUGGGAGGCAUGCAAUGAGGCAAGCAAUCGUGCACGCACACCGAGCGGCCAGCAAGCAAAGAGGCGUGAAUUCGCAGGCGCACCGAAGCAAGAGCCUUGGCGUUGCCCGGUAUGGCAUGCACUCUUCUGUCCGCUGUCGCCCGAGCCUCACGGGAGACAAGCAAGAAAGUCGACGACACAGUAUAAAACCCUUUCGGAGUCGCUCUUAUGCCUUUGGGCGUGGGAGCUGAUUACUGCGCGACGUGGAUUCAGUGGCAUUACAAGAGCUAUUCAUGUUGUGGAUUCCUUUGAAAGUGAAAGAUUAUCAGUCUAGCUACCAAUUGUUCUAUCUAUAUAUCUUCCUAUAUGUGUAUCAAUGAAUCAAAUCUAUAUGCAUUUGUACAUAUGCAUAUGUAUAUACAUACACAUAAAUGCAUAUAUACAUACAUACAUACCUACACA
rnacentral:misc_RNA from 1 species